rnacentral:rRNA from 1 species
UACGUAGGGGGCUAGCGUUGUCCGGAUUUAUUGGGCGUAAAGGGCGCGUAGGCGGCCUGACAAGUGGAAGGUGAAAUCCCUCGGCUCAACUGAGGAACUGCCCUCCAAACUGUUUGGCUUGAGACCGGGAGAGGAGAUUGGAAUUCCCGGUGUAGCGGUGAAAUGUGUAGAGAUCGGGAGGAACACCGGUGGCGAAGGCGGGUCUCUGGGCAUCUCCUGACGCUGAGGCGCGAAAGCGUGGGGAGCAAACGGG